rnacentral:lncRNA from 1 species
GAGCAGCUCGACGUGAGGAAAGUUCGCUACUCAGAAUUACCCAGCAUGCGCCGUGCCAAGAGCAACUUCGCCGCCGUCGUGCUUCAAGGCUGUAUCUACACAAUUGGAGGCUUCAGUGGGAACAAGACGGUGCCGUUCGUCGAGCGCUACGACAUCGCCGCCCGGAAGUGGUACACGGCACCCGAGAUCGCCGUGAAUUGCAGCGCGUCCGCUGCCUGCAUCGUUUACGACGUCACCAACCCUGCCUCCUGGGUAUAGGCCUCCACAACACACAAGUGUUGCGGCGCGAAGCACGGCGAUGGCCCCCUGACGACCAGCAAGCCUUCAGGAAAGCGCACCAGGAAAGCGCACCGUGUAGGCCAAUGCGCGAAUGGCGAGCGCAGAGUUUGCGACUUCGUCAUGACGUUAGAAUGGCGAAAGGAAACUGGCAGAAAAAAUAUAAGAAUAAAAUGAAAUCCAAAAUAAUAUCAAUAAAA